rnacentral:rRNA from 1 species
ACUACGGGAGGCAGCAGUGAGGAAUAUUGGUCAAUGGGCGGAAGCCUGAACCAGCCAAGUAGCGUGCAGGAUGACGGCCCUACGGGUUGUAAACUGCUUUUAUACGGGAAUAACGCGCCUUACGUGUAGGGCUUUGCAUGUACCGUAUGAAUAAGGACCGGCUAAUUCCGUGCCAGCAGCCGCGGUAAUACGGAAGGUCCGGGCGUUAUCCGGAUUUAUUGGGGUUAAAGGGAGCGUAGGCCGCAUGUCAAGCGUGCUGUGAAAUGUCCGGGCUAAACCCGGGCCUUGCAGCGCGGACUGGCGUGCUUGAGUCCGCGGAAAGCAGGCGGAAUUCGUCGUGUAGCGGUGAAAUGCUUAGAUAUGACGAAGAACCCCGAUUGCGAAGGCAGCUUGCUGCAGCGGAACUGACGCUGAUGCUCGAAAGCGCGGGUAUCGAACAGGAUUAGAUACCCUGGUAGUC